GCGCGCAGUCUCUGGUCACUGCCGCCCGGGGGCUUUUGCCAGCGGCGCCGCGGGCCUGCGUGCUGGGGCAGCGGGCACUUCUUCGACCUCGUCCUCCUCGUCCUGUGCGGCCGGCCGGGUGAGGCCGGGCCCGCGUAGGGGGCAGUCGGCGGCUGCCUCCGGCGGAGGUGCCUCGCGGCGCCCGGGCCGGCCCGCGCCUCGGCGGCGUGCUCCAUGCAUCCGGAGCCCGCCCCGCCCCCGAGCCGCAGCAGUCCCGAGCUUCCCCCAAGCGGCGGCAGCACCACCAGCGGCAGCCGCCGGAGCCGCCGCCGCAGCGGGGACGGGGAGCCCCCGGGGGCCCCGCCCCGCCACCGCCGCCGUCCGCCGUCACCUACCCGGACUGGAUCGGCCAGAGUUACUCCGAGGUGAUGAGCCUCAACGAGCACUCCAUGCAGGCGCUGUCCUGGCGCAAGCUCUACUUGAGCCGCGCCAAGCUUAAAGCCUCCAGCCGGACCUCGGCUCUGCUCUCCGGCUUCGCCAUGGUGGCAAUGGUGGAGGUGCAGCUGGACGCUGACCACGACUACCCACCGGGGCUGCUCAUCGCCUUCAGUGCCUGCACCACAGUGCUGGUGGCUGUGCACCUGUUUGCGCUCAUGAUCAGCACCUGCAUCCUGCCCAACAUCGAGGCGGUGAGCAACGUGCACAAUCUCAACUCGGUCAAGGAGUCCCCCCAUGAGCGCAUGCACCGCCACAUCGAGCUGGCCUGGGCCUUCUCCACCGUCAUCGGCACGCUGCUCUUCCUAGCUGAGGUGGUGCUGCUCUGCUGGGUCAAGUUCUUGCCCCUCAAGAAGCAGCCAGGCCAGCCAAGGCCCACCAGCAAGCCCCCCGCCAGUGGCGCAGCAGCCAACGUCAGCACCAGCGGCAUCACCCCGGGCCAGGCAGCUGCCAUCGCCUCGACCACCAUCAUGGUGCCCUUCGGCCUGAUCUUUAUCGUCUUCGCCGUCCACUUCUACCGCUCACUGGUUAGCCAUAAGACUGACCGACAGUUCCAGGAGCUCAACGAGCUGGCGGAGUUUGCCCGCUUACAGGACCAGCUGGACCACAGAGGGGACCACCCCCUGACGCCCGGCAGCCACUAUGCCUAGGCCCAUGUGGUCUGGGCCCUUCCAGUGCUUUGGCCUUACGCCCUUCCCCUUGACCUUGUCCUGCCCCAGCCUCACGGACAGCCUGCGCAGGGGGCUGGGCUUCAGCAAGGGGCAGAGCAUGGAGGGAAGAGGAUUUUUAUAAGAGAAAUUUCUGCACUUUGAAACUGUCCUCUAAGAGAAUAAGCAUUUCCUGUUCUUCCAGCUCCAGGUCCACCUCCUGUUGGGAGGCGGUGGGGGGCCAAAGUGGGGCCACACACUCGCUGUGUCCCCUCUCCUCCCCUGUGCCAGUGCCACCUGGGUGCCUCCUCCUGUCCUGUCCGUCUCAACCUCCCUCCCGUCCAGCAUUGAGUGUGUACAUGUGUGUGUGACACAUAAAUAUACUCAUAAGGACACCUCCUUCCCGUGUCUUGUAUUUGUUGGGCCUGGGCUACUGCUCACCCUGGUUAGGUGAGCCUCUAGGAAAACUUAAAACAAAUUUUAAGCCAGGUAUGGUGGCACAUACCUGUGGUCUCAGCUAUUCAGGAGGCCAAGGCAGGAGGAUCUCUUGAGCCCAGGAGUUUGAGACCCCAUCUCAAACAAAAAAUACAAAAAUUAGCCAGCCACGGCGCCUGCACUUCCAGCUCCUUUGAGAGACUGAGGCAGGAAGAUUGCCUAAGCCCAGGAGGCCAAGUCUGCAGUGAGCUAUGGUAACACCACUGCACUCCAACCUGGGCAACAGAGGGAGACUCUGUCUCUAAAAAAAUAGAAAAAUUUGCCCUGCAUGGUGGCUCACGCCUGUAAUCCUAGCCCUUUGGAAGGCCAAGGCGGGCAGAUCACUUGAGGUCGGGAGUUCGAGACCAGCCUGACCAACAUGGAGAAACCCCAUCUGUACUAAAAAUACAAAAUUAGCUGGGUUUGGUGGCGCAUGCUUGUAAUCCCAGCUACUCGGGAGGCUGAGGCAGGAGAAUCGCUUGAACCCAGGAGGCGGAGGUUGCAGUGAGCUGAGAUCGCGCCAUUGCACUCCAGCCUGGGCAACAACAGUGAAACUCCGUCUCAAAAAAAAAAGAAAAAAAAAUUCAACAUUUUAUUUUGAGAAAUUUCAAACCUACAAAAAGUUGCAGGAAUAGUGUCUAUCUGAAAUACAUAUUCAGUCUUUUCUUUAGAAGUCUUUUUUUUUUUUUUUUUUUUAAAUAGAGCCUCACUCUGUCACCCAGGCUGGAGUGCAGUGGCGCGAUCUGUAAAAUCACUGUGAGCACUGACUUAGCACAUACUGGACCGUUGCUCCUAGGAGAAAUACAGGGUUGCGUUCCUGUGAGCUUUGGUCGUGAUAUUUUCAUCAGCUGAUCAAUAUGUAAUCUUGUUUUAUGUGUAUUUCUGUUUAAAGAUUCAUAUAUAUAUGUGUAUAUAUAUAUAUGGUUGAGUUGUUACCGUUGAACUCACAGCCCACAGGACUAGAACACAUGCCUAAAUAAAGUUUAUCUAACAUA